UUCUUUUUUAAAAAAAUCUCUACGCUGUCUAUCCUCCGUAUUCCCAGGACUUCACAAAGGAAGAUCCCAGCAUCUCUCAGGAUGAAGAACUGAAAGGCAUCAAAGUUGAGGUAAAAGAGGAAGAAGAAGAGACUAUGGUGAGUGGAGAUCAGCAGUCUAUGGUCAAGCAGCAGAUGAUUAUGAAAAGUGAACAGGCGGAAUCUUCACUUUAUAUCGACACAUCACCGGAUGGAUCCAGUAAUGGGAACCCACCAGAGAGAUGUCCCC